rnacentral:siRNA from 1 species
GCGAGAUCGUGAAGUUGCAUGGA